ACAUUUACCACUCAAGAGACAAUGACAAAUGCUUCUUCUGUCAGAGAGUGGUUUAAGGAAAAAGUUGCCAAAUUGGAGGGAGUUGACCCUGCCACUGCCGUGUCGCAACACUUUGUUGCUCUUUCAACCAACAAAGCUGGAGUUGAACAAUUUGGAAUCGACACAGCCAACAUGUUUGAGUUCUGGGACUGGGUGGGUGGUCGCUACUCUCU
rnacentral:ribozyme from 1 species